AGGACUGUGCCAAAUGCUCCGGCGCCGAAGGAUGUGGCUGCGGCCGAUUAGGUAGACGGUGGGGUAACGGCCCACCGUGCCAAUAAUCGGUACGGGUCAUGAGAGUGAGAACCCGGAGACGGAAUCUGAGACAAGAUUCCGGGCCUUACGGGGCGCAGCAGGCGCGAAACCUUUACACUGCACGACAGUGCGAUAAGGGAAUCCCAAGUGCGCAGGCAUAGAGCCUGCGCUUUUGUCCACCGUAGGGAGGUGGACGAAUAAGGGCUGGGCAAGACCGGUGCCAGCCGCCGCGGUAAUACCGGCAGCCCGAGUGAUGGCCGAUCUUAUUGGGCCUAAAGCGUCCGUAGCUGGCCGCACAAGUCCAUCGGAAAAUCCACCCGCUCAACGGGUGGGCGUCCGGUGGAAACUGUGUGGCUUGGGACCGGAAGGCGCGACGGGUACGUCCGGGGUAGGAGUGAAAUCCUGUAAUCCUGGACGGACCGCCGAUGGCGAAAGCACGUCGCGAGAACGGAUCCGACAGUGAGGGACGAAAGCUAGGGUCUCGAACCGGAUUAGAUACCCGGGUAGUCCUAGCCGUAAACAAUGCCUGCUAGGUGUGGCUCCCACUACGAGUGGGUGCUGUGCCGUAGGGAAGCCGCUAAGCAGGCCGCCUGGGAAGUACGUCCGCAAGGAUGAAACUUAAAGGAAUUGGCGGGGGAGCACAAUCGAAU
rnacentral:rRNA from 1 species